AAUAAAUAAAUAAAUAUGAGAUAUCCGAUUUCAGCAAAGUUGUAGAGCAGCUUGAGUACUACAAUUUUCCACAUGCGUUAUUCCGUUAUCUCUUAUCAAAUACGCGAAGUGAUUCUUAGUACUUUUAUUUGCAAUUUAAAGUCGCCUCGGGCACUGUAUGCCCCAAAGACGAACAAAAGGUUGACCACACUUGAUUUAAUUUCUAAAAAUUAUUAAUUUUUUGGUGUUGGUAAUUUUUGUAGAUGAUCUAUCUUCUAAUUUAACAUCUGGCGCCACAAACAAUUUGGCAAAUGCGGGCAGUGGCCUAUCAAGUCUUGGUGUGGUUACUAAUAUGAAUAUAAUUGAUGAUCCGAUAUCGGAUGCUUUUAAAAUAGUAGAUGCUAUUCGGCCGCCGCCGCCGCCGCCGCCACAUUCAAACCUUCAUAUGGCCGGUCGAAAAUAGAACUAUGAAAGUCGUUUGUAACAUUUUUGAACGAAUUGAAUCAACAGAAAAUCAAUCUUUAGAUGUUCCGAAGACCACAACCAGAAAAUGAUUGAACCGAAAAGCUGGCUGGUACUACUUGUGGAGAAACGUUUUUAAAUUCAAGAUAUACUUUUUCCUCGAAAAUAUACGAAAUAUACGAAAUAAGAAAUUCAAAAAGUUAGUAUUGAUCUAGUAUUGGAUCUAAGACAUUUAAAUAAAAUGAGACGGAAUGGAAAGAAGUAAUAAUCACCAAUUUCACAUACAAAUAUCAUUAUUAUUAGCUAAUUUAUAAUAAAUAUCAAAGUUGGAGGAUUUUACAUUCGUACAGAUCUAUUUACCUAGUAUCUUAAUUCGAAUUGUAUACAUAAAAGUGUAACACAGAAAUACGUUUUAUUUUGACGAGUUUUGGAUUAAAUUAUUUGCUUAUACCUAACCAUUAUUUGAAAAGUAAUCAAUAAAUAUCAUUAUUAUGUACAAAUAUUGAUCAAGAAACUGAAACCAAUUUCAUUGUUCAUAUACAAUAUAAUAAUAAUACAAUUGAAAAUU